CUCAGUGUGACUCCUCUAGCUCUCAGGACCCUGAGUCUGGAGAAAUUGUGCAGGAAAUGGAAAUUAACCAUGAAGUAUGCUAAUGAAAGUGUUGUUAAUGAGCCUUCACUAAGCUUGUGGCUUUAGUGCUUCUUUAAGUACACUUCCUAACAGGAACUGGUAGCAAAAGCACUGAACUUGGAAUCCUACUCUGCCUCCUUCCCCUAGUUGGGGGCAAGUUCAUCUCUGAACCUUUGUUUCUUCUUCUGAAAAAUGAGGACCUGAUUUCACCUCCUUACUUCUCUCCUAGGGUUGCCGAAGAACCCAACGCUCGUGAGAAGUCUUUGUUCAAGGGAAGCCUUAUACAUGUGAGGAAGUAAAGUUAGGAGGCUGAUAAUUAUUAAUACAUGCACCCAAAUAAGAUGUGGGGAAAGAAGGAGCACUAUUUGGAAGUAUUAUGAGAAUACCUGUGUGAUUUGAGGCCAAUGUAUUGUGACCUGCAUGUUUUUCAUGGAACAGCAACCAUCCCUGAAAAUAUUCUGGAGGUACCUCCAGAGGCUUGACUGCAGACUCAGCAAUCAAACUGAAUUACGAACAAACCAGCAUUGACAGACAGCUUGCUAGGUGCCCCCUGUAUCAGCAUAAACCAUGGAGCAGAGAAGCUCAGGAAAGGAGCAAGGAAGAGAAAAACCGCAUUUGGGCAUCUACUCUAGGUGAUAGGUUAAGUACCACCAUUUAUAAAUUUACUCUCAGAAACCCUCUCAAGGAGUUAUUAUUACUAUACUGCUUUUAUAGAAAAUAAUCUGAAAAGUCACAUAAUAGUGGCAGAGCCAGUAUUUCUCUCCAGGCCCAACUCCAAAUCUAUGUUUUUGCCAUGACAGUAUACUGUUAUUAUAAGUGUCCCUGCCCUUCAGCUCUAGGAAUUGGAAAAUAAUCUAUGAAAGACACACCUAGCUUUCUACCAGGUCCUGUUCAUGUUUUACCUCCUUCAAGAUGUCUUUCUUGACCAUCCCAGCCAAUAGGGUUAUUCUCCUGCUUAUAAUCUAUGUAGCAUUCACUGCAUCUGUAUCCCUUUUUCAGGAAAUUGUAUAACAGGGUGGGAAGUGUCCUUGGAGACUAAUCCAAGCCCUUUUUUGUACUGAUGAGGAAAAGUGGAGCCAAAAGAGGGGAAAAGGGAUUGCCCAGGGUCACAUAGCAGAUUAGAUUAAUAACUGGGACUAGAUCAUUGGCCUUCUGAUUCUUGGUCUAGUACUUUUGUUCCUACAUCCAGGUUGGGGCAAGAGACGCAGAAGAGAGAUGACUAGUAACCUGGUAUAGGGGAACAAUCAAAUCUGAUAUUCAGAAACCAAAUGGAAAAAUAUAAUGUAUGUAAAAUUGCACAGCAUGUUCCCAGGUAUAUAAUAGUUUCUCAAUAUGUUUUGGUUGUCUGAAUCAAAGAACCCACUUCUACCACCUGCUCAGGGUCUACACAGCCAGGGAUUAGAGCAACCAAAGCAAUCUGGGACUAUAAUUUAGUUCUUUAGACAGACAGUCUCUACUCUUCUCAUUUAUCUGUUUUCAUGUAUUUAUCAUUUAUGUACUUAUUUCUUUUUUUCUUUAAUUUUUAACAAAAUUUCCUUUCACAAUUUCAACUUCCUAUUAAUCCUCUACAUUUCUGUUCAUGUCACUUUUCUGAUAAAAAUUUAACAAUUCCCAAUCAACAGGGUGAGACCAACUUCUCAGUGUAGCAUCAAAACUAGAUCCCAAACUUCCUUUCUCUUCUUACUCUUUAUAUCCUGAUGCCUCUUCCCUUGGAUACAUGCCCUAACCUGAAGCAAUUACAAAUUACUAUCAAUUUGCUAUCUCCUUUCAUUCACCUGUCUCUUUGCACAUGAUGUUUGUUCCCUCAGUAUACCAGCAUGUUGUAUCCCUACUUCUGUGCUUAGCAAGCUCAAUUUAAAAAACCCACUGCGAAUAUCAUAUUAAGUGUUAAAUCUUCCCCAACUUUCCCAGCGUAAAUUAGCUGCCUCCUCCUAAAUGGCAGUUCAUCCAUCUUUAAGAAGAUUGAUUAUACUGUAUUCUAAUUGAUUAGUGUGCAUAUCUGUUAUUCCCUCAGUCCCGCUAUCCUUUGCUGUGAAAUGU
rnacentral:lncRNA from 10 species